UCCUUCUUUCUAAUAUAUAGCAAUCUCUGUAUCUCUAUAUUAUGUUUUCAUGAUUUCGCAGCGUUGAUUUGGAAAUUUUUGAUUUGGUUGCAAAUGUUCUUGUUUAAUCUUAUACAGAUAUAGAUGGAAUAAUCUGUUUCAUUAUACCUGUUAAUGAAAUGAUUAGGGCCUUUACGUAGCUCUUAAUCUUAGUCUGCUCCCUAGUUCUUUAUUUAUAUUAGAAUUAUUAGUUGUGUUUUUCUCAUGUAGAAUCGUUUUGGAUGAAUUGAUUAUCUUCUACAUUUUAUGGUUUGAGGGAUAGAUUUGGCCCAUCAAAUAAUAUUAAGAUGGCUAACUAUUUGCGGGGAGAGAUUAAAUAUUAUGGAUGAAUUAGGUGUUUUGGUAAUUGUGGGCAGCACAAUUUGGUUAGUAAGUGCUAUGGAUUUUGAUUCUUGGGUAAAUAUUUAUGGUUGUUUUGGGGGCACUAAAUGAGUUUAAUUAAGUUAUAUAUCUAUAUAAUAUAUUUGUUCUUUUCAGUGGUUAUGCUUCUGAAUGCAAUGUGCUUGAAUAUUUACAUUCCUCUUGUGAUCGAAUUUUAGGACUUGUAUUUUAAGUGAUUUAUGGGGAUUGAAUUUUGAUGGGAGUGUCAUCUACAUUGUGUUAAUAUUCUGUUGGUACGACUUUUGCAGGACCUGCAAGGUGUUACCGCCAG
rnacentral:misc_RNA from 1 species